UACGUAGGGCGCAAGCGUUUAUCCGGGAAUUAUUGGGCGUAAAGAGCUCGUAGGCGGUUUUGUCGCGUCUGCCGUGAAAGUCCGGGGCUCAACUCCGGAUCUGCGGUGGGUACGGGCAGACUAGAGUGAUGUAGGGGAGACUGGAAUUCCUGGUGUAGCGGUGAAAUGCGCAGAUAUCAGGAGGAACACCGAUGGCGAAGGCAGGUCUCUGGGCAUUAACUGACGCUGAGGAGCGAAAGCGUGGGGAGCGAGCAGG
rnacentral:rRNA from 1 species